UGGGGAUAUUGCACAAUGGAGGAAACUCUGAUGCAGCAACGCCGCGUGAGGGAAGAAGGUCUUCGGAUUGUAAACCUUAGUAGUCAGGGACGAAAGAAAUGACGGUACCUGAAGAGUAAGCUCCGGCUAACUACGUGCCAGCAGCCGCGGUAAUACGUAGGGAGCGAGCGUUGUCCGGAUUUACUGGGUGUAAAGGGUGCGUAGGCGGGACUGCAAGUCAGACGUGAAAUACCGAGGCUUAACUUCGGGGCUGCGUUUGAAACUGUGGUUCUUGAGUGAAGUAGAGGCAGGCGGAAUUCCUAGUGUAGCGGUGAAAUGCGUAGAUAUUAGGAGGAACACCAGUGGCGAAGGCGGCCUGCUGGGCUUUAACUGACGCUGAAGCACGAAAGCAUGGGGAGCAAACAGGAUUAGAUACCCUGGUAGUCCAUGCCGUAAACGAUGAUAGCUAGGUGUGGGGGGACUGACCCCUUCCGUGCCGCAGCAAACGCAAUAAGCUAUCCACCUGGGGAGUACGACCGCAAGGUUGAAACUUAAAUGAAUUGACGGGGGUCAUAGCUG
rnacentral:rRNA from 1 species